UACGUAGGGCGCAAGCGUUUGUCCGGAAUUAUUGGGCGUAAAGAGCUUGUAGGCGGUUUGUCGCGUCUGCUGUGAAAUUUCGGGGCUCAACCCCGAACUUGCAGUGGGUACGGGCAGACUAGAGUGUGGUAGGGGAGACUGGAAUUCCUGGUGUAGCGGUGAAAUGCGCAGAUAUCAGGAAGAACACCCGUGGUGAAGGCGGCUCUCUGGGGACGGUACUGACGCUGAGACGCGAAAGCGUGGGGAGCGAACAGG
rnacentral:rRNA from 1 species